AAGUCGUAACAAGGUCUCCGUAGGUGAACCUGCGGAGGGAUCAUUACUGAGUGAGGGCCUCCUGGUCCGACCUCCAACCCCAUGUUAUCCGACACUGUUGCCUCCGGGGCGACCCGGCCUUCGGGCGUCGGGGCCCCGGGUGGACCAUUCAAACACUGCAUCUUUGCGUCUGAGUACACGAUUGAAUCAAUCAAAACUUUCAACAACGGAUCUCUUGGUUCUG
rnacentral:misc_RNA from 1 species